rnacentral:tRNA from 2 species
GGGGGUAUAGCUCAACUGGAUAGAGCAACGCCCUUCUAAGGCGUAGGUUCGGGGUUCGACUCCCUGUGCCCCUA